rnacentral:rRNA from 1 species
AUUGAACGCUGGCGGAAUGCUUUACACAUGCAAGUCGAACGGCAGCACGGACUUCGGUCUGGUGGCGAGUGGCGAACGGGUGAGUAAUGUAUCGGAACGUGCCCAGUCGUGGGGGAUAACGUAGUGAAAAUUACGCUAAUACCGCAUACGAUCUAUGGAUGAAAGCGGGGGAUCGCAAGACCUCGCGCGAUUGGAGCGGCCGAUAUCAGGUUAGGUAGUUGGUGGGGUAAAGGCCCACCAAGCCAACGAUCUGUAGCUGGUCUGAGAGGACGACCAGCCACACUGGAACUGAGACACGGUCCAGACUCCUACGGGAGGCAGCAGUGGGGAAUUUUGGACAAUGGGCGAAAGCCUGACCCAGCCAUUCCGCGUGCAGGAUGAAGGCCCUCGGGUUGUAGACUGCUUUUGUACAGAACGAAAAGGUUUCUACUAAUACUAGGAGCUCAUGACGGUACUGUAAGAAUAAGCACCGGCUAACUACGUGCCAGCAGCCGCAGUAA